UACGUAGGGUGCGAGCGUUAAUCGGAAUUACUGGGCGUAAAGCGUGCGCAGGCGGUUUUGUAAGACAGGCGUGAAAUCCCCGGGCUUAACCUGGGAACGGCGCUUGUGACUGCAAGGCUAGAGUACGGCAGAGGGGGGUGGAAUUCCACGUGUAGCAGUGAAAUGCGUAGAGAUGUGGAGGAACACCGAUGGCGAAGGCAGCCCCCUGGGCUAACACUGACGCUCAUGCACGAAAGCGUGGGGAGCAAACAGG
rnacentral:rRNA from 1 species